rnacentral:tRNA from 1 species
GCCGCCGUAGCUCAGCUGGUCGGAGCGGGUGACUUGUAAUCACCAGGUCCCGGGUUCGAAUCCCGGCGGCGGCU